GGUCCGCGGCGGAGCGAGCGAACGGCCGGCAGGUUGGGAGGAGCGGCUGAAGGUUGAAUGCCUUUGAGAACUUGAUGCAUAAAAUUUGCAUGACUCCUCACUCCUUUCUGGAUCUCUCAUUGGACUCAAGCCAGCAUGGCUCACAUCACAAAGGUUAACGGCAGUGCUUCAGGAAAAGCAGAUGAUAUUCUCAAUGGAGACCAGGACAAGGAACAGAAAGACCCUUACUUUGUGGAGACCCCCUAUGGUUAUCAACUAGACUUAGAUUUCCUUAAAUAUGUGGAUGACAUACAGAAGGGAAAUACUAUCAAAAGACUGAACAUCCAGAAGAGGCGGAAGCCAUCCGUGCCAUGCCCAGAACCCAGGACCACAUCUGGUCAGCAAGGUAUAUGGACCUCCACUGAAUCCCUCUCAUCCUCCAACAGUGAUGACAACAAGCAGUGCCCCAACUUCCUUCUAGCCAGAAGUCAAGUUGCAUCAACUCCAAUCUCAAAGCCACCUGCCCCUCUGGAGACCUCACUCCCUUUUCUUACCAUCCCAGAAAAUCGACAGCUGCCACCUCCCUCACCACAACUCCCAAAGCAUAACCUUCAUGUCACCAAGACACUGAUGGAGACCCGGAGAAGACUGGAACAGGAGAGAGCCACCAUGCAGAUGACACCGGGUGAGUUCAGAAGGCCCAGGCUGGCCAGUUUUGGAGGCAUGGGCUCCACAAGCUCCCUCUCCUCUUUUAUGGGUUCUGGAAACCACAAUCCUGCCACGCACCAGCUUCAGAAUGGAUACCAAGGUAAUGGGGAUUAUGGUAGCUAUGCCCCAGCUGCUCCCACCACUUCCUCCAUGGGGAGCUCCAUCCGCCACAGCCCCCUAAGCUCAGGGAUCUCCACCCCAGUGACCAACGUGAGCCCCAUGCACCUGCAGCACAUCCGCGAGCAGAUGGCCAUUGCUCUGAAACGCUUGAAGGAGCUGGAGGAGCAGGUGCGAACCAUCCCUGUGCUCCAGGUAAAGAUCUCUGUCUUGCAAGAAGAGAAAAGGCAGUUGGCCUCACAGCUGAAAAACCAAAGGGCUGCAUCCCAGAACAAUGUCUGUGGUGUGAGGAAGCGGUCCUACAGUGCGGGGAACGCCUCCCAGCUGGAACAGCUCUCCCGGGUCCGAAGAAGUGGCAGGGAAUUAUACAUUGACUAUGAGGAGGAAGAAAUGGAGACCGUAGAACAGAGCACGCAGAGGAUAAAGGAGUUCCGGCAGCUUACAGCAGACAUGCAAGCCCUGGAGCAGAAGAUCCAGGAUAGCAGCUGUGAGGCCUCCUCAGAGCUCAGGGAGAAUGGCGAGUGCCGGUCUGUGGCUGUGGGUGCUGAGGAGAACAUGAACGACAUCGUCGUGUACCACAGAGGCUCCAGGUCCUGUAAGGAUGCAGCUGUAGGGACACUUAUUGAGAUGAAAAAUUGUGGGGUCAGCGUGACAGAGGCCAUGCUUGGAGUGAUGACAGAAGCUGACAAAGAAAUUGAGCUGCAACAGCAGACCAUAGAAGCCUUGAAGGAAAAGAUCUAUCGCCUAGAAGUACAGCUUAGAGAAACCACCCAUGACCGGGAGAUGACUAAACUAAAACAAGAGCUGCAGGCUGCUGGAUCGAGGAAAAAGGUUGACAAAGCCAUGAUGGCCCAGCCGCUUGUUUUCAGUAAGGUGGUGGAGGCAGUGGUGCAAACCAGAGACCAAAUGGUCGGCAGUCACACAGACCUGGUGGACACGUGUGUUGGGACCUCUGUGGAAACAAACAAUGUAGGCAUCUCCUGCCAGCCCGAAUGUAAGAAUAAAGUCGUAGGGCCUGAGCUGCCUAUGAAUUGGUGGAUUGUUAAGGAGAGGGUGGAAAUGCACGACCAAUGUGUUGGGAGGUCUGUGGAAAUUUGUGACAAGAGUGUGAGUGUGGAAGUCAGCGUCUGCGAAACAGGCAGCAACACAGAGGAGUCUGUGAACGACCUCACACUCCUCAAGACAAACUUGAAUCUCAAAGAAGUGCGGUCAAUCGGUUGUGGAGAUUGUUCUGUUGACGUGACUGUCUGCUGUCCAAAGGAGUGCACCUCCCGGGGCGUGAACACUGAGGCUGUUAGCCAGGUGGAAGCUGCCGUCAUGGCAGUGCCUCGUACUGCAGACCAGAACACUAGCACAGAUUUGGAACAGGUGCACCAGUUCACCAACACCGAGACGGCCACCCUCAUAGAGUCCUGCACCAACACUUGCCUAAGCACUUUGGACAAGCAGACCAGCACCCAGACUGUGGAGACGCGGACAGUAGCUGUAGGAGAAGGCCGUGUCAAGGACAUCAACUCCUCCACCAAGACGCGGUCCAUUGGUGUUGGAACGUUGCUUUCUGGCCAUUCUGGGUUUGACAGGCCAUCAGCUGUGAAGACCAAAGAGUCAGGCGUGGGGCAGAUAAAUAUUAACGACAACUAUCUGGUUGGUCUCAAAAUGAGGACCAUAGCUUGUGGGCCACCACAGUUGACUGUGGGGCUGACAGCCAGCAGAAGGAGCGUGGGGGUUGGGGAUGACCCUGUAGGGGAGUCUCUGGAGAACCCCCAGCCCCAGGCUUCACCUGGAAUGAUGACCGGCCUGGAUCACUACAUUGAGCGCAUCCAGAAGCUGCUGGCAGAACAGCAGACACUGCUGGCUGAGAACUAUAGUGAACUGGCAGAAGCUUUUGGGGAGCCUCACUCACAGAUUGGCUCCCUCAACUCUCAGCUCAUCAGCACCCUGUCGUCUAUCAACUCUGUCAUGAAAUCUGCAAGUACUGAAGAGCUGAGGAACCCUGACUUCCAGAAAACCAGUCUGGGUAAAAUCACAGGCAAUUAUUUGGGAUAUACCUGUAAGUGUGGAGGCCUUCAGUCAGGAAAUCCCUUAAGCUCCCAGACAUCCCAGCUUGAGCAAGAAGUGGGGACCUCAGAAGGAAAGCCAAUCUGCAGCCUGGAUGCCUUCCCCACUCAGGAAGGUACGCUGUCUCCAGUGAACCUGACAGACGACCAGAUCGCCGCUGGCCUCUAUGGUAACUUUUCUCACUCACAGUCAUUGGCAUCAGGAUUCUAGGGCCAGCAUUGCCAGCAUUCCAAUUUAAUGUCAAUGUACCUUUUAAAUUGACCUGGAAGAAAGUUAAUAUCGUUAUUUGGAAGGUGGGCCCAGAAUAUCUUUAAAUAAGGUUACCAAAGAGGCCAGGCAUGGUGGCUCACACCUGUGAUCCCAGCACUUUGGGAGGCCAAGGCAGGCAGAUCACUUGAGGCCAGUAGUUCGAGACCAGCCUGGCCUACAUGGUGAAACCCCAUCUGUACUAAAAAAUACAAAAAUUAGCCAGGCAUGGUGGUGCACACCUGUAGUCCCAGCUACUCCGGCGGCUGAGGUGGGAGAAUCACUUGAACCUGGGAGGUGGAGGUUGCAGUGAGCUGAGAUCAGGCCACUGCACUCCAGCCUGGGUGACAGAAAGAGACCCUGUCUCAAAAUUACCAAAGAAAGAAAGCUGUACAAGAAAGCUUACCUGAUAUUACAAAUUAUGAAAUAUUUUAAAUAGCAUUUUAUUCACAUUCUGGCAGGCAUAAGUUUUUUCAGGUUAUCUCAGCUGAAGAAAAACAAUAAUCCCUGUUUAGUGCGUAAAUGGUCCUUGAGGCUCGUGAGACACGACAUCACUUUAUAAGCAAUAAAGCCGGAUACAAAUGUCAAUUUUCACCGGCUUUGUUAUGUCUGGAAGUACUAAUUGAUUUUUUUCCCAUGUGAAGAAUGUUAUUAAUGGAACUUUGAAUUAUUUUCUUUGCAUGCACACACCUUCCCAUUGAAUUUUGUGGAAACUUCUCACAUAUAUAUGCCAAGAUCUACAUUUACAUGCAUGAGAAAAGAACUGUACAGGAAAAAAGAUCAUUUAACAUGUAUGGGUGUGAGUUUUCAUUUUUAUUGCCUUGACUUUUUCACAGCAUGUACAAACAAUGAAAGUACACUGAAGUCCAUCAUGAAGAAGAAAGAUGGUAACAAAGAUUCAAAUGGCGCAAAAAAGAAUCUUCAGUUUGUUGGCAUUAAUGGAGGGUAAGGAAAGAUGGUGGUUCUAGAGGCUAAUGCUGUCAGUCUCCUUUGCCUCCUGCCUAAGUCACAUUUCAAGGUGCCUAGUCGGGGAAGCGGCCACAGCGCAGUGAUGGAAGAUUCCCUCCUCAGAAAGGCAGAAAGGUGCAUUUGGGCUUUUCUUUCCUCUUCUGGUGCUGUCUUUAAGGAUUUGUCACUCUCUUAAGGAUACCUGAUGAAGCCGAGCAGUUUACAUCUCCUCACCUCUGAUCUGAAAGAAAUAGUCUUCAGCGAACGCAGCGGGGUUCCUGCACUGUGUUGGACAACUUGUACUUACCUCUAUGAGAACUCAAAAUUGAGCAGAAAAAGACUGAGAGCAUCACUCUCUGGGCCAACGAUCGUCAUCCAUUCCUUCAAAAUGGGUCCUUUUGCUUAGCUCUCCAUGUUUACGACCCAAAUUGUAGGACCUUUCACAACUGAUAACCACAUCACCAGUUUGCUUUCUAAAUAGAAUGGUUAUUGUGUGUUCCUUCUCUUUCCAUUGGCCCACGUACAUAGUUAAGCUCCUUUGUUGUCCUACAAUUGAAUCAAAUCAAUGAAUUGAUACAUGGCCCCCACAAGAAAGAAAUAAUACAAAGUUAGUUAAGAUAAUGUUUAUAGCAAAGUGUACCAUUAGGGUUUAACCUUACGGUGCCUGUUUUCCAAAUCUUAGAAGUUUUAUUCAGUGAUAAUGGCCAGGAGAUUUUGGAGGGCAUACACCAGAAAAACUAUUGAUUGCCUAUGUAAUCUAUUCACCUUGAUACUGGGAGAAUUAAUAGGAUGAAAUAGGAAGAAAUGGGGUGGGGGGGACAAAAAGUUAGCACCUACCAAUCUGUUUUCCAUAAAGUAUGUUUUCUCUCGAUUUAUACUAAGCCAGAGAUGCCAUUAUUUUCUUUAACAAGUGUUACAUGAUACCAAUUGGUUAUAUGAUACCGAUUACCAAUUUAAGUUAGAAUCCAUUCAAAACCACCAGGCAUUUAAAUAGACCUUACUUUGAACUUCUAAGUGCAGGAUUUAAAACCACUAGUGAAAUUUCUGGAGUCAGUUAGCAAAUCCCUUCAUAGAAAUUUCUAUCACUGAGUCUUUGUGAGCACACCUUGCAUCUCCUGAAAUCCCAAUUGCCACCUAGGUAUGAAACAACUUCAAGUGAUGAUUCCAGCUCAGAUGAAAGCUCUUCUUCCGAGUCAGAUGACGAGUGUGAUGUCAUUGAGUAUCCUCUUGAAGAAGAGGAAGAGGAGGAGGAUGAAGACACUCGGGGAAUGGCAGAAGGGCACCAUGCAGUUAAUAUUGAAGGUUUCAAGUCUGCCAGGGUGGAAGAUGAAAUGCAGGUUCAAGAAUGUGAACCUGAGAAGGUGGAAAUCAGAGAGAGGUGUGGUACAUUCCCCUUCCCUCCCUUGCCCCUCCCACAUUUAAUGUACUUUGGCAAUAGAGUUGGCCAGUUCAGAGCUUUUGUAAUUAAAUGUUUGCUUUUAUCUGUUCCUCAGAAGUAGACACAUCUUGAGAUACUAAUAUAUACAAGUACAGAGUAUCGCAACUCUUAGAUCUCUUAUGGUAGAAUGGCCUGAUACCUAAUCACCCUUGUUUUCUGAAACCUUAACUCUGCUAUAUAAUUUAACAUAUGGAACCACAAUCCACUAAAACUUCCCUUGUUUGAACACCUUACCUUAUAUUUAAAGACAUUUUAAUUUUUUGGUGGCCAGCAUACUUUAAGAUUUCAGAUUUUAUGUUUAGCCAUUUAUCUUGAUACAGGUGUCAGUAUCAUUAUUACAGGAUCAUUGUGUGGAUGAGGCCUCAGCCAAAGAUCACAUUUACUGUAAAGAUGAUGCAUAUCACUUACAUGUUUGUAUUCUGUUACACAUUGAAUGAUCAGGAAUACCACAAGAAUGGAGUUGGGUAUAUCAUAAAUAGUAGCUGAAAAACACUCUGGUUGGCUGAAACAUGUGCCUCAAAAUGUAAGUUUUCAAGACCAUUAGAUAAGGAUUUGAUGCUCUUAAAAUAGAGAAUAGAAAAGAUGGAAACUUCAGUAUGGUUUUUCACUAUGUGAAAUAUAAAUAGAACGUUUCAGAAAACUUAACUAUUUAAUUUGGCAAAUGAAAGUUUAACUGCAUUAACACAAGGUAAGUGUUUUUAGUUUAUAUUUCCAAGUGUUUCACAUGGCUCUUUAACAGCUUUGAGAUGUAAUUUAUAUACCAUAUGUCAUUUUUUUAUUUUUCAUACGGGUUAAACACGUGAGUCACCAAAUGUGGGUUCAGAUGUGUGGUUUACUGGUCAGCACAAUGGAUAUAUAGUAAUUUGUGGAAAGUCAAGGCAGGAGGAUCGCUUGAGCACAGGAGUUUGAGACUAGCCUGGACAACAUAGUAAGACCUCAUCUCUACAAAAAUAUCAAUUACCUGGGCAUGGUGUCACAUGCCAGCUGCUCCGGAGGAUAAGGUGGGAGGAUCACUUGAACCCUGGAGGUUGAGGCUGCAGUGAGCCAGUGCACUCCAGUGUGGGUGACAGAGCAAGACCCUGUCUCAGAAAAAAAGUAAUUUGGGUCUCCUUCAACCCCCUUAAGAUUAAAAAUAUUUUUUUAAAAACUUAGAACAGGUUGGGCACAGUGGCUUACACCUGUAAUCCCAAUACUUUGGGAGGCUGAGGCAGGCAGGCAGAUAGCUUGAGCCCAAGAGUUCAAGACCAGCCUGGGCAACAUGGUGAAACCCUGUCUCUACAAAUACAAAGCCGGGUGUGGUGGCACACAUGUGUAAUCCCAGUUACUUGGGAGGCUGAGGUAGGAAGAUUGCUUGAGCCUGGGACAGCAAAACUACAGUGAGCUGUGAUUGCGCCACUGCACUCCAGCCUGGGCGACAGAGUGAGACUGUCUCAAAAAACAAAAACAAAACCAC
rnacentral:sRNA from 1 species